UUGUAUCGUUUGUGGUCCAAUGUAGCGUGUUUGAGGCUCGUGCGUGUAGCGGAAAGUUCCAGUUGGCAACACUGCCAGGUGACAACAACAGCACGCGCCGAGGCCCGAGCAGCAUCCCUUCUGGCCCUGCCCAACCAGCCCCCUAAAACACCCCAGAAGAAGAAGACGACGAAGGCUCCACACCCACGGGCCAGCGCUGGGGACCUGCUGGCCAGCGACACCCUCAGCCCCAACACUGCCAGGACAACACCUCCACCACCGCCGCCGGGAAGUCUUAACCUUCUCAUGCAGCAGAAGUAGAGCUCUCACGGGCACGUCCACCCUCGACCACGACCACGGACCCUAGGCCUCCGGUGUGUGGAGGAAAAGAGAACAAGGAAAGAACGAGGACAACAACAACACACUCAGCCGCCGCAAAGGUUGGGGCCGCCUCACCUGCAGGGCUGGACAGCAGCAUGAGUGGCCAGGACAAGCAGGAGCAGACUGCUGCAGGGGGCAGGAAGAAGGACAAGCAGGACCCGGACGGUGACAUCAUUAUGAGGCUUGAGUACGGUCUCCUGAACUCCUCGUCCCUGGAGCUGAUUGAGCAACCCACGUGUACCUCCCCAGUCUAAUGGUGAGCCUGGCGCCGCCCCUCGUGGUCUUCCAGCCUCCUCACCAGUGCAUCUUCCACUCCUCCGAGCUUGUGUAUAACUUGACCAACCAGUGAUGAGAGCGUGUGAAGCAGUUUGCCAACCUGGUCCUGGCCCUCAUGAUGCUGUUCGCCAGGUACAAUCACUGGAUGGUGGGCGACAAGUUUGAGAGACUCGCCCCCUCACUGCCAAGAAGUCACCCGCA